rfam:Clostridium sp. CAG:470 genomic scaffold, scf38
UAAAAUUAAAUAUUAAAGCCAAAGACAGUAGGCAAAAAUAAGUCCUACCGAGGUUAUAAAUAACGUGUAUAAAGCACUUUUUAUAAUCUCGUAUUGGAUAUAAAAAGUGUUUUUAAUUAUAUAU